rnacentral:tRNA from 1 species
GACGAGAUGGCUGAGUUGGUCUAAGGCGCCAGAUUAAGAUUCUGGUCCGAAAGGGCGUGGGUUCAAAUCCCACUCUCGUCA